ACGGGUGAGUAAUGUCUGGGAAACUGCCUGAUGGAGGGGGAUAACUACUGGAAACGGUAGCUAAUACCGCAUAACGUCGCAAGACCAAAGAGGGGGACCUUAGGGCCUCUUGCCAUCGGAUGUGCCCAGAUGGGAUUAGCUAGUAGGUGGGGUAACGGCUCACCUAGGCGACGAUCCCUAGCUGGUCUGAGAGGAUGACCAGCCACACUGGAACUGAGACACGGUCCAGACUCCUACGGGAGGCAGCAGUGGGGAAUAUUGCACAAUGGGCGCAAGCCUGAUGCAGCCAUGCCGCGUGUAUG
rnacentral:rRNA from 1 species